UGGGGGAUAUUGCACAAUGGGCGAAAGCCUGAUGCAGCGACGCCGCGUGGGGGAUGAAGGCUUUCGGGUUGUAAACCUCUUUCGCUAUCGAACAAGGCCCGCUUAGGGUGGGUUGAGGGUAGGUGGAGAAGAAGCGCCGGCUAACUACGUGCCCGCAGCCGCGGUAAUACGUAGGGCGCGAGCGUUGUCCGGAAUUAUUGGGCGUAAAGGGCUUGUAGGCGGCUUGUUGCGCCUGCUGUGAAAACGCGGGGCUUAACUUCGCGCGUGCAGUGGGUACGGGCAGGCUUGAGUGUGGUAGGGGUGACUGGAAUUCCAGGUGUAGCGGUGGAAUGCGCAGAUAUCUGGAGGAACACCGAUGGCGAAGGCAGGUCACUGGGCCAUUACUGACGCUGAGGAGCGAAAGCAUGGGUAGCGAACAGG
rnacentral:rRNA from 1 species